rnacentral:rRNA from 1 species
CCUACGUGGGGCAGCAGUGAGGAAUAUUGGUCAAUGGGCGCGAGCCUGAACCAGCCAAGUCGCGUGAAGGAUGACGGCCCUAUGGGUUGUAAACGUCUUUUAGAAAGGAAUAAAGUGAGGCACGUGUGCCGUUUUGUGUGUACCCGAUGAAUAAGCAUCGGCUAACUCCGUGCCAGCAGCCGCGGUAAUACGGAGGAUACGAGCGUUAUCCGGAUUUAGUGGGGUUAAAGGGAGCGUAGAUGGGUUGUUAAGUCAGUGGUGAAAGUUUGUGGCUCAACCGUCAACUUGCCAUUGAUACUGGCAUUCUUGAGUACACUUGAGGUAGGCGGAAUUCGUGGUGUAGCGGUGAAAUGCUUAGAUAUCACGCAGAACUCCGAUUGCGAAGGCAGCAUAC